GUAGCACACAACAUUGGGAAUUCAGGCCAUGCUGCCUCAGCUCACUGCCCAGAGAUUGCUGAAGCACAGAUUGGACAGCACUGACUUAAACCACGGUGGGAAGUGAGGCCCAGAGAAGCCCAGAAGACAGUCUCAGGGGAUCAGUGGCACCACAUAGAACUGGUUUCCACACAUCAGG